rnacentral:tRNA from 1 species
UGGCCUGUCGGUUAACGGCAAACCAGCGCCCUGUUAAGGCGUGACUCCUGGUUCGAAUCCAGGUAGGCCAG